AUUGAACGCUGGCGGCAGGCCUAACACAUGCAAGUCGAGCGGAUGAAGGGAGCUUGCUCCUGGAUUCAGCGGCGGACGGGGGAGUAAUGCCUAGGAAUCUGCCUGGUAGUGGGGGAGAACGUCCGGAAACGGGCGCUAAUACCGCAUACGCCCUGAGGGAGAAAGUGGGGGAGCUUCGGACCUCACGCUAUCAGAUGAGCCUAGGUCGGAUUAGCUAGUUGGUGGGGUAAAGGCCUACCAAGGCGACGAUCCGUAACUGGUCUGAGAGGAUGAUCAGUCACACUGGAACUGAGACACGGUCCAGACUCCUACGGGAGGCAGCAGUGGGGAAUAUUGGACAAUGGGCGAAAGCCUGAUCCAGCCAUGCCGCGUGUGUGAAGAAGGUCUUCGGAUUGUAAAGCACUUUAAGUUGGGAGGAAGGGCAGUAAGUUAAUACCUUGCUGUUUUGACGUUACCAACAGAAUAAGCACCGGCUAACUUCGUG
rnacentral:rRNA from 1 species